rnacentral:lncRNA from 10 species
UAUACUGCUUGGCAUUCUGGCAGGGAACAGAAAGACAAAGCAUCAUGGGAAGAAACGGUUAGAAAAAAAUAACUGAAAGAUGUGGAAAUUUUUAUGCUCAGAGGCUCUUGGCAGUCAAUGAGAAAUAGGAGAUUGGAAUGGAAACUAUAAAGGGGUGCUGGAAAAGGUCAGAGAAAAUCAUCAUCAUAAAGUGAAGUGAUUUUCUUCUUUAUGAGCUCCUGAUGUAAACAGACUGAUGAGCACAACACAAUCCUUACUCACCCACAUGACAUCAUACACAAUCACAGCUAAAUGUUUCUAUCUGUCAAAGCCUGAAGAGUGACUACCAGAUUGUUGCCUGAUUGGAUGCAAUUCCUCAGUUAUGACUGUGGUGACAAUAUAGGUAAGAAUUGAUGCUUGUUCAACUGGGAUCUAUCCAGAGAAACAUAAUCCACUUCAAGAAUUUUCUGAAAAGGGAAUCUAAUGCAAGGAAUUAAUUGCAAAGAUGAUGCAAUAUCUGAGAACGAUAGGUUUGACAGUUUGGUCUACAUUUCAAGGCUGGUUAGAUGGGAGGAAUUGGGUCAGUCAUGCUCUUGAAGGAGGCAUACUGGGAGCCAUACAUUACCAGAGGCAGAGGAUUCAAUGGAUGUUUUCUGUUUUCUCUUCUUCGUGCUCUGUAAUUGAGACACAGAACAAAGGUAAUCUUUGCUUAGCGUAAUAAUGGAGAUCCAGGUGAAUUCAAAGUAAGUCUUGAGAGUCACCCUGUGUUUUGAUAUGAAAAGAAAUACAGGGAAAACGUAGAGAGGAAAUAAAAGGAAGCCAUGUAUGAGGGCUUGAGAUUUUGUUGUCUGUUUUAUCCCAGGAGGAAGACUAAGUGCUCUGCCUUAACUCAGGCCAGGCUGUGGGCGCAAGUGCACCAACGGCUUUGAGACUAACACACAGCUCAGAACAAGGAAAUAUAUAUUGAGCACCUUCAACAUAACAAAUUGGCUGGGCACUGCUGAACUGGCUACAGUGAAGAGUACAAUGUUGAUGAAGCAGAGCUCCACAUGCAACAUAAAAUAGAAAUUUGAAAAGAAAAUCAGACAAAUGAUGU